rnacentral:rRNA from 1 species
AUUGAACGCUGGCGGCAGGCCUAACACAUGCAAGUCGAGCGGCAGCGCGGGGUAACCUGGCGGCGAGCGGCGAACGGGUGAGUAAUACAUGGGAAUCUGCCUAGUAGUGGGGGGAUAAACUUCGGGAAACUGGAGGUAAUACCGCAUACGCCCUACGGGGAAGGGGGGAGUCUUCGGACCUCUCGCUAUUAGAGGAGCCCAUGUCCGAUUAGCUAGUUGGUGAGGUAAAGGACUCACCAAGGCGACGAUCGGUAACUGGUCUGAGAGGAUGGUCAGUCACACUGGAACUGAGACACGGUCCAGACUCCUACGGAGGCAGCAGUGGGGAAUAUUGGACAAUGGGGGAAACCCUGAUCCAGCCAUGCCGCGUGUGUGAAGAA